AGUGAACGCUGGCGGUAGGCCUAACACAUGCAAGUCGAACGGCAGCACAGUAAGAGCUUGCUCUUACGGGUGGCGAGUGGCGGACGGGUGAGGAAUACAUCGGAAUCUACUUUUUCGUGGGGGAUAACGUAGGGAAACUUACGCUAAUACCGCAUACGACCUACGGGUGAAAGCAGGGGAUCUUCGGACCUUGCGCGAUUGAAUGAGCCGAUGUCGGAUUAGCUAGUUGGCGGGGUAAAGGCCCACCAAGGCGACGAUCCGUAGCUGGUCUGAGAGGAUGAGCAGGCACAAUGGGAGUGAGACACGGCGAAGACUGCUACGGGAGGCAGCAGUGGGGAAUAGUGGAAAAGGGGCGAAAGAAUGACACAGAAACGACGCGUGAGUGAUGAAGGAAUGAGGGGGGUAAAGCCAGUUGAACAGGGAGGAGAAGGAGAGGACCGGGAGAAGAAGCGCCGGCGAACUCCGUG
rnacentral:rRNA from 1 species